GGGAGGGAGAGAGAAGCAGACGGGAGAAAUCAGAGAAGACUCGAGGGAGAAAUGGGGAGAGAAAAGCGGCGAGGCGGCGAGGUCCGCUCUGGAAGAGGACUCAGAGCCGGGCAGCAGGAAGGAGGGAGGAAGGGCAGGGGAAGGCAGGACGGACAAAGGGAGGAAAGAAGGAGGGAACGGAAAGAAAGGGGAGACGAACGGAGGGAAGGCAGGGGGCGAGGCAGGAAGGGGAAGAACGAGGGAAACGCAAGGAGCGAGGCAAGGAGCAAGAGGAGCAGGAAAUAAAGGGAAGGAAUAAAAGGGGAAAGAGAGAAAGAAAGAGAGAGAGAAAGAAAGAGAGAGAGAGAGAGAGAAAGAAAAGCAGAAAGAAGGAAGGGAAGGAGAAGAAAGUCGGCCGGAAAAGAAAGAGCGAUCACAUAAAAACACAGAUAUCCAACAUCACGAGGUGGUCACAGGCCGGUGCAGGACAGGAGGGGCCGAGUUGCCUUUUGUAGCGGUACCUUCACUUGAAGAAGCAGGAAGAAAAAAAACCUGAUGGCAAUUUAAGAAACAAUAGACUCAACUCGCGCUGCCGGCUUUGCUACUUCAAGUGUCAUUUUCCACAACCAG